rnacentral:misc_RNA from 1 species
UGGGGCACAACCAUUCUUUUGUUUCUCCAUACUUUUCCAUGAUAUUUAGUACACCACCUACUUUGUUAGAGUAUCCUUCAUCUGUAUCAACACCUAUGAGGAACGCAAUAGACACUGAUAUGGUGUACAGGGAUGUAUAGUUCACAUUGGAGAAAGGAAAUUAGCUACAGAUCUUGUUUCUUUAGAUAUAUUUGAGGUUGAUGUGAUUUUAGGCAUGGAUU